UUUGGUUUAUCUUAUUAAUUUAUUUUUAGUUAAUUUAUUUCAUGUAUUUUUUAAAGUUUUUUUUAUAUAGAAAGCUUGUAACAACGUGAUAAGGUUAGUAUCCUACUUUCUCCCUCUUCUUUAUUUUUAUUUGUUUUGUUCCCAUCUUUAUUUUUAUUUUAUUUGUUUUGCAUGCAUGGUCGUAGGUCAUUAUUACCUAAUCUUGAACCUAUAGACCUUGAAUUAGAAAAAACACUUCGCACACAAAAGCACAUUAAAAAUAAAGUUGGAAUGGAUUUACAAGCACCACAGGAGAGGCCAUUUAAG
rnacentral:lncRNA from 1 species